UUGAGGCAAUAACAGGUCUGUGAUGCCCUUAGAUGUUCUGGGCCGCACGCGCGCUACACUGACAGAGCCAGCGAGUCUACCACCUUUGCCGGAAGGCAUGGGUAAUCUUGUGAAACUCUGUCGUGAUGGGGAUAGAACAUUGCAAUUAUUGUUCUUCAACGAGGAAUACCUAGUAAGCGUGAUUCAUCAGAUCGCGUUGAUUACGUCCCUGCCCUUUGUACACACCGCCCGUCGCUCCUACCGAUUGAAUGAUCCGGUGAAGUGUUCGGAUUGCGUCGACGAUGGUGGUUCGCCGCCGUCGACGUCGUGAGAAGUUCAUUGAACCUUAUCAUUUAGAGGAAGGAGAAGUCGUAACAAGGUUACCGUAGG
rnacentral:rRNA from 13 species